CAAGAUUUUUCUGUUCUAUUUUCUUCCUUAAUUCGGUUGAAGGAGCUCUGUGAGCAGUGAGCACCGAAUAGGAAUUAGAGAGCGGGAAUUUAGAGAAAACUCCAGUCUCUUUGUUUCUCGCACUCUUUUGAGAAGAAGGAAAAGGAAACCAGUGCUUGAGUUGUAUUACUUGCUAGCUGAAAAAUCAUGGGAAAAGCUUCUAGAGAUAAGAGGGAUAUCUACUAUCGAAAAGCUAAAGAAGAAGGUUGGAGAGCUCGAAGCGCUUUCAAGCUUCUUCAGAUUGAUGAAGAAUUCAAUCUGUUUCAAGGAGUAAAACGGGUAGUAGACCUUUGUGCAGCGCCUGGAAGCUGGAGUCAGGUGCUUAGCCGAAAGUUGUAUCUUCCUGCCAAGCUCUCACCAGAUAAAAGGGAUGGUGAUCUUCCUCUUAUUGUUGCUAUUGAUUUGCAGCCCAUGGCUCCAAUCGAUGGUGUUAUUCAAGUGCAGGGCGAUAUCACAAAUGCUCGAACAGCUGAAGUGGUCAUCAGACAUUUUGAUGGAUGCAAGGCCGAUCUAGUAGUUUGUGACGGUGCUCCUGAUGUUACUGGACUUCAUGAUAUGGAUGAAUUUGUGCAGUCACAGCUGAUAUUAGCGGGUUUAACCAUUGUUGCUCAUAUACUUAGAGAGGGUGGAAAGUUCAUUGCAAAAAUAUUUCGUGGCAAAGAUACAAGUCUCCUGUACUGCCAGCUGAAACUGUUUUUCUCAGUUGUAACUUUCGCAAAACCGAAAAGCAGCCGCAAUUCCAGUAUAGAGGCAUUCGCAGUUUGUGAGAACUAUUCACCUCCGGAAGGUUUUAAUCCAAAUGAUUUACACCGCCUUCUGGAAAAGGUGGGCACUCCCUCUGGAGAGGAUGACCUAGACUGCAACAGUGGUUGGUUGGAAGGGCCAAAUAAGGUUUACAUCCCAUUUUUAGCUUGUGGGGACCUUAGUGGGUUUGAUUCAGAUCGUUCAUACCCUCUCCCAACUGUUGCAGAUGGAACUACCUACAAGAGCUUGGAUCCAGUACAGCCCCCUAUAGCCCCACCCUACAAAAGAGCACUUGAAAUGAGGAAAGCCUCCAGCCAUGGAAUCCGAGAGGUCGAUAACAUUUGAUCAGUAAUCUCCUUCUUGGGAUUGUCAGUUUUUGAUAGUAGUACUGAAACCGGGAAGGGAAAAGAAUCUUGCUUCCUUAGCUAUGUUAUUCGCCAAGGCAUUGUCAGUUCUGGGAUGUAAGAACAAGACGCAUUGGAUGUGCGACAGUUUCAGAUGGCAUCUUUUACUUUCCAGUCUGUAUCAGAUAGCAUCUUGUACUCUCCAGUCUGUGGUAAAUGCUGAAGAUAAAGCUUGAUGUCCAUACAUUAUCCCUCUGUAAAAGAGAACUAAUACAGUAAUACCCAGAGCUAUCAUGAUCCAUGAAGGAUGCAUCAAUGAAGAUCAACCGAUCAGCCGGAAGGUGAGGAGUCUAGUUCAUAGGGUUAGAUGAUGGGGGAGGGAGGUGAAAUGUUUUUCAGUUGUACAGAAGGAACAGUAGAAGAGGUAGGGGGAGUCAGUGGAUUGUUUUUGGGUUAUGAGGGCAGCUGGGUUGGAAAUAAUACUAGAGAAAUGGACAGCAUUGAUAUUUCUAGAUAAGAUUAUAGGAUAGGGGAGAUGCUGUGAUAUUUGUCAGAUCGAUCGUCAUCCGGAGGUGAAUCCAUCGCCUCAUAUUACCAGGAUUAAGCUGAAGUACUAUGAUGCAUAGAAAACGCCAACCUAAGGCAGUCACAGAUGGUCAAGAGAGGAAGAGAUGGCUCUCUGAUUCGGAUGCACUGAUGUUACACCAAAUGUAAAUGUUCAAAAAUAGUUUUACCGGCUUCAUAGCGCCUUGCGGUAUCUAGCUUCCUGAUCCACCACGUAACUGUACCUCUAUCAACGGCAGCUCUUAGGAAUAGAUAAUGUUCUUAUUAUGCUUACCUGCUCACCAACCACAUUUCCGCACACUUAUGAUUAACAAAGUUAGUUCAGAUCUUUCAACUAGGAUGUUGUUUCAACUACUUUCCACAUCGUUACGGCAUUCCUGUCCAUAUCGCCUUUGCGUCAUUUUAUAUGAGCCAGCCACUGAGAAUUCAACCUUAUUUGUGGUGGAGCCGUAUUUGAUAAGAUUUUCAUAUCAAAUGACGGUUGACUGACAGCACUGGUGUAUCUUUCUUUCAACUAGCUUUUCUUUUUGAAAUGUCAAGCCUAAACAGUAUUUCUUUGAAUUUCUUUUGGGGAAUGGCAGAUUGCAAUAGCCAGUAGUGGUCGGUUAGAAGGCAAAGCAAGGUUUGCUUUAACCAUUUUUAGUUUGUGCGGGCUUAAGUGAGUAUGACUAUUCAUUUUUUUUUUAACAGUGGUCUACACCUAGGUGCUUUUAGCCUAGGAACAACGGGAAACACUUCUUACCCAAGUUUUACAAUAACACAAGCGUCAAAACCUGAUUUGCUUUCAGGAUACUUACAUCGGUCAUGUCUAUCAACCGGAUAAUCAAUUACACGCCGACACGACACACCGCGAGAUCAUCUGAUGUCUUCUUUAUUGGGGUAGGAAGCGAGUUCGCAAAGAACCCACCAGAGCCUGGAUCCAGGAUAAACCUUCAACAGCUUGUCCUUGCAAAAGAGAACUUGAAAGCUUCCAGCCACUGAAUCUGAGUGGUCGGUAAUAUUUUAUCAGUAAUUUCCUUUUUGGGAUAGUCCAGUUUUGAUAGGUAGAGGCAGUAUUGAGUUGCCAACAUUUACCCUGACAGUCAUUCCAAAACCUGCAAUCUAUCAUCUAUAGCUUAACAAUUGUAGACUUAAAAUGGCCGUUUAAAGAUUACAUGUUCAUAAACUGCA